AUUGAACGCUGGCGGUAUGCCUUACACAUGCAAGUCGAACGGCAGCACGGGAGCAAUCCUGGUGGCGAGUGGCGAACGGGUGAGUAAUAUAUCGGAACGUGCCCAGUCGUGGGGGAUAACGCAGCGAAAGCUGCGCUAAUACCGCAUACGAUCUGAGGAUGAAAGCGGGGGACCUAAGGCCUCGCGCGAUCGGAGCGGCCGAUGUCAGAUUAGGUAGUUGGUGGGGUAAAGGCUCACCAAGCCGACGAUCUGUAGCUGGUCUGAGAGGACGACCAGCCACACUGGGACUGAGACACGGCCCAGACUCCUACGGGAGGCAGCAGUGGGGAAUUUUGGACAAUGGGCGCAAGCCUGAUCCAGCAAUGCCGCGUGCAGGAAGAAGGGCCUUCGGGUUGUAAACUGCUUUGUACGGAGCGAAAAGGUCUUUCCUAAUACGGAGGCUGAUGACGGUACCGUAAGGAAUAAGCACCGGCUAACUACGUGCCAGCAG
rnacentral:rRNA from 1 species